rnacentral:rRNA from 1 species
GAUGAACGCUAGCUACAGGCUUAACACAUGCAAGUCGCGGGGCAGCAUGGGGGUUGCUUGCAAUCCCCGAUGGCGGCCGGCGCACGGGUGAGUAACGCGUAUCCAACCUGCCCUUCACCACGGGAUAACCCGGCGAAAGUCGGACUAAUACCGUAUGUUGUCCAUUGACGGCAUCCGAUUUGGACGAAAGGUUUGGCGGUGAAGGAUGGGGAUGCGUCCGAUUAGCUGGACGGCGGGGUGACGGCCCACCGUGGCGACGAUCGGUAGGGGUUCUGAGGGGAAGGUCCCCCACACUGGAACUGAGACACGGUCCAGACUCCUACGGGAGGCAGCAGUGAGGAAUAUUGGUCAAUGGGCGUAAGCCUGAACCAGCCAAGUAGCGUGCAGGAUGACGGCCCUAUGGGUUGUAAACUGCUUUUAUGCGGGGAUAAAGUGGCCCACGUGUGGGUUUUUGCAGGUACCGCAUGAAUAAGGACCGGCUAAUUCCGUG